AGAGUUUGAUUCUGGCUCAGGAUAAACGCUGGCGGCGCACAUAAGACAUGCAAGUCGAACGGACUUAACCAUUAGUUUACUAUUGGAGCGGUUAGUGGCGGACUGGUGAGUAACACGUAAGCAACCUGCCUAUCAGAGGGGAACAACAGUUAGAAAUGACUGCUAAUACCGCAUAUGCCUAAGUACCACAUGGUACAAUAGGGAAAGGAGAAAUCCGCUGAUAGAUGGGCUUGCGUCUGAUUAGCUAGUUGGUGGGGUAAAGGCCUACCAAGGCGACGAUCAGUAGCCGGACUGAGAGGUUGAACGGCCACAUUGGGACUGAGAUACGGCCCAGACUCCUACGGGAGGCAGCAGUCGGGAAUAUUGCGCAAUGGAGGAAACUCUGACGCAGUGACGCCGCGUGCAGGAAGAAGGUUUUCGGAUUGUAAACUGCUUUAGACAGGGAAGAAACAAGACAGUACCUGUAGAAUAAGCUCCGGCUAACUACGUGCCAGCAGCCGCGGUAAUACGUAGGGAGCAAGCGUUAUCCGGAUUUAUUGGGUGUAAAAGGUGCGUAG
rnacentral:rRNA from 1 species